rnacentral:rRNA from 1 species
UACGGAGGGAGCUAGCGUUGUUCGGAAUUACUGGGCGUAAAGCGCACGUAGGCGGCUUUUUAAGUCAGGGGUGAAAUCCCGGGGCUCAACCCCGGAACUGCCCUUGAAACUGGAGAGCUAGAAUCUUGGAGAGGUGAGUGGAACUGCGAGUGUAGAGGUGAAAUUCGUAGAUAUUCGCAAGAACACCAGUGGCGAAGGCGGCUCACUGGCCCGGUACUGACGCUGAGGUGCGAAAGCGUGGGGAGCAAACAGG